UACGUAGGGACCGAGCGUUGUCCGGAAUCAUUGGGCGUAAAGAGCGUGUAGGCGGCCACUUAAGUCCUGCGUGAAAUCUUGCGGCUCAACCGCAAGCGGUCGUGGGAAACUGGGUGGCUAGAGUGCGGGGAGAGGAGAGUGGAAUUCCUGGUGUAGCGGUGGAAUGCGCAGAUAUCAGGAAGAACACCCGUGGCGAAGGCGGCUCUCUGGAACGCAACUGACGCUGAGACGCGAAAGCGUGGGGAGCAAACAGGAUUAGAA
rnacentral:rRNA from 1 species